rnacentral:lncRNA from 1 species
CUGCUGGGGAGACCUCCCCCCUUGCCUGAGGAGCUCGGGCUGUGGCCUGGGCCGGGGGGUGGGGGGGGUGUGCAGCAGUAGAGUCUCACCCUGGAGGCUGCAGACGUGCUGGUCGAGCCUGGCGGAGCGGAGAGCUGCAAACUCCGGUCCCAUCCCACUCCCGUGGGUGGCACGCGGCGGAGCCUGAGCGCCAGCCUCUACCUCUUCUCCCUCAGGCAAGAAUUGGGAUGAGGAGUAACCUUCUGGUUUAUGGGAGCGGCCCAGCUCGUCCACGAUGCUCAGCAACGGCGGCUGUGUGCUGGGGCCCCCACGGAGGGGGGCGCGUAGAACCCAAAGAGAAGGUGCCCCUGCAGCAGAAGGCAGAGCCAGGGCUGGGCUUGGGAUCGGCUCCAACCCCACCCCGCUUCCUUCCACAGGCCCUCCAAAGGCUCACAACGCCGCCCAGCAUUCCCGGGGCUGACGGGGUCACCUGCUCGGGCUUCCCUUCCUGCACCCAUUGCCCCACGGACUCCUAGAUGCUCCUUAAGCAAGAACAAAGCGUCUGAGCACACCUACCAGGAGGCUGUUUCUGGCUGGCUUGGCUCUGUCCAG